rnacentral:tRNA from 1 species
GAGGGUAGAGCUCAGUGGUAGAGCAUGUGCUUAGCAUGCAAGAGGUCCUGGGUUCAAUCCGCAGUACCUCCA